rnacentral:lncRNA from 1 species
GAGACUUACAAUCUCACUUACUAGAAUGUUAUGCCUUUGGGUCAAAAUUUAGCGCUAUGUUAAGCAAUCGUAAUUGGACUUAUGUAGAAGUGACAAAUAUCUGAGGCGGGGCAAUAGAAAUUUUGGUGGUAAUGCAUGUUAGAGAUGUGAUACAAUGAACCAUACUCCUAAAACAUACCACACAGAAAAAGAAAAAUGAUCAAAAGAUGCACCUAAUCUCAUCCAUACUUGUAUUGGUUCAUCUAACACAAAGUUAUUGAUGAAC